AAUGAGUUGCCUGAUAAAAGGGUUAUCUUGAUAGGGUAAAUUAUAUAAUUUUGUAAUUAUACUCAUUA
rnacentral:tRNA from 1 species